ACAGUAAAGAGUUACAUUUUCCUGGAGCAGGGAAACACAGCCCCACCCAGGAGCUGCUGAGGAAAAAAUAAAAGAGCUCUGCAUGCUGAUUGGAGCAGGCUGCUGUGUUGGUAGUGGCAGCGAAUCGGGACUGAGCAAUUAGCUGCCCCGCCUUCAUCACUGCUGCAGUUCCAGUCCCCUUCCCCCCUUCUCUCUCUUUUCUCUGGUGCUGUGGAGGACUGGAGUAGUCUGGAGCCUGGAAGCUGCUUAAAAAUAAAAACUGUGAGAAAUAGUUUAAAAAGCUUAUAAAAGUGGCUAAAACCCAGUGAGAUAGGAGGCUGCAAACCCCCCAAUUUCAGUGAAGCUGCGGGGAAGUGAACGGAAAGGCAGUAAAUGCUGUUACUAACUAGAGCUGGUGAGAAGACCCAGCAGAGAUUCCAGUUCAUUCCAGAGGUCAGGUUUUUUUGUUGGGGACCAUCAGAGCCUGGGGAGACAGAGUCUGGUGGAUCUUUGAAAAAGUAGAUGGCGAGCCACCCAAAGA